CCUACUCGUCGCUCCUAGCGUCCAGCUUCCGCCUGCGCCUAGCCGUUCAGCUGUUCUCUCCUCUGCGGCACGACUGCCUGAUCCCCUGAGUUACUGCAUAAGCCGACCAGCCGACGCCUGCUACAUUCGUCUGCUGUUCGACCGAGGUCAUCUUACUGUGAUACCUGUGUAAAGGCCUAGUUCGUUGCAGAGCCAUGCUGGUAUCGGCGGCGUUGGCAUUGUGGCUGGCAGCAGUGCCACUGUUGGCGUAUCCCGCGUUCGGCAUCAAGCGCUACGGCCGCAACUCGGGCGUGUCGGC